AAAGGCGCUUUCGGGUGUCGCUGAUGGAUGGACCCGCGGUGCAUUAGCUAGUUGGUGAGGUAACGGCUCACCAAGGCCACGAUGCAUAGCCGACCUGAGAGGGUGAUCGGCCACAUUGGGACUGAGACACGGCCCAAACUCCUACGGGAGGCAGCAGUAGGGAAUCUUCGGCAAUGGACGAAAGUCUGACCGAGCAACGCCGCGUGAGUGAAGAAGGUUUUCGGAUCGUAAAACUCUGUUGUUAGAGAAGAACAAGGAUGAGAGUAACUGUUCAUCCCUUGACGGUAUCUAACCAGAAAGCCACGGCUAACUACGUGCCAGCAGCCGCGGUAAUACGUAGGUGGCAAGCGUUGUCCGGAUUUAUUGGGCGUAAAGCGAGCGCAGGCGGUUUCUUAAGUCUGAUGUGAAAGCCCCCGGCUCAACCGGGGAGGGUCAUUGGAAACUGGGAGACUUGAGUGCAGAAGAGGAGAGUGGAAUUCCAUGUGUAGCGGUGAAAUGCGUAGAUAUAUGGAGGAACACCAGUGGCGAAGGCGGCUCUCUGGUCUGUAACUGACGCUGAGGCUCGAAAGCGUGGGGAGCAAACAGGAUUAGAUACCCUGGUAGUCCACGCCGUAAACGAUGAGUGCUAAGUGUUGGAGGGUUUCCGCCCUUCAGUGCUGCAGCUAACGCAUUAAGCACUCCGCCUGGGGAGUACGACCGCAAGGUUGAAACUCAAAGGAAUUGACGGGGGCCCGCACAAGCGGUGGAGCAUGUGGUUUAAUUCGAAGCAACGCGAAGAACCUUACCAGGUCUUGACAUCCUUUGACCACUCUAGAGAUAGAGCUUCCCCUUCGGGGGCAAAGUGACAGGUGGUGCAUGGUUGUCGUCAGCUCGUGUCGUGAGAUGUUGGGUUAAGUCCCGCAACGAGCGCAACCCUUAUUGUUAGUUGCCAUCAUUCA
rnacentral:rRNA from 1 species